rnacentral:rRNA from 1 species
UACGUAGGUCCCGAGCGUUGUCCGGAUUUAUUGGGCGUAAAGCGAGCGCAGGUGGUUUAUUAAGUCUGGUGUAAAAGGCAGUGGCUCAACCAUUGUAUGCAUUGGAAACUGGUAGACUUGAGUGCAGGAGAGGAGAGUGGAAUUCCAUGCGUAGCGGUGAAAUGCGUAGAUAUAUGGAGGAACACCGGUGGCGAAAGCGGCUCUCUGGCCUGUAACUGACACUGAGGCUCGAAAGCGUGGGGAGCAGACAGG